GGGGAUGAAACAGGCUCGACAUGCAUAGUAAAGGGGAUAGCUUUUGCUCGGUGAGAAAACAGCCGUUUCAAGUGAUCAAAACUUAUAAGUGCAAACGAUAAUUUCGUUUCCGCUAAUGAUAAUAAUAGCACUGCUAACUUAGUAGCUGCUUAGUUUUAUAAUUAGCACGGUUUUUUGGGGUUUUCCGGGUAACAGAAAAACCCCUCC
rnacentral:tmRNA from 2 species